ACGCAGGGGAAGGGCGGCGGAACCCACAGCUCGAGCUCAGGUGAUUCUGACGCAGGCGCUCCACGGAAACCCUCCGAGAAUUCUGGGGGCCGUGGGGCCGCCCAGCUCAGUCCGGAGCUCCGGAACUCGGGGAAGAGCGUCCGGGAGCCGGGUCUGGGUUCCGCACUCCGUCCGCCCCGAUGGCAGAGAGUGAGAUACGGACGCCCCGGGACGAGGGGCUCAGGACCCGGCUACGGACACCUGCCUCCAUCUCCCUCCAGAUAACACAAGUGUGAAGAGAGGGGAGAGCAGCAAAGGCUGAGCUGCGUGUGCCUGGUCCCUUCCAGACUUUCCAGAUAACUUUGCCCCACGGAGGACAAGGAAAGCCAAAAGAGAGAAGCCAGGAUUGUUAGUCUUGGAAAAUGCCUCCAUAUAGAAACAUGAGCCGGAGAAUAAAUCACUUGCCUCUCUAACCAGUUGGAUUUGGUCCGUGAGUUCCUAGUUUUGUUCACCUGACUUAGUCCCUGACUUUUAAAGUCAAGUGCAUCAACAUGCUGCCAGUACUUUGAUGAACAUCUAUACAGGAUCCAUCUCUACAGCAGUGAAUUCCACCUGGGGUAAAGUAUGCAUGUAGGUUAGGAUGCUACAGUGGGACUCUGUCUGCUUUUUCUGUCUGUUUCUGCUAAGGCCUCCACACAUUAGAUGGUCAGUACUCUUUGUUCUAUGGGAAGGGCUAGAAUACCUAAACAGGACUUUCACGGAGGGAGCAACAAACCAGUUUUGUGGCUCUCAGCAAACAUCCAUCUCAAAGGUGAGUUUGGAAAUAAUGGAGAGUAUGUCAGUGUGUUUGUGUCUCAGGCCUACUUCCCACGCCUAUGGGGGAAGGGUGGGACUUAUCUCUCUCUUCCCUCAAGCCUGCUAAGAGGAGAUUAGACUAUAUUUGAGAUAAAUACCUCCAGCACAGUGACAGCCAUGCAGCUCAUGCCUGUGAAAUCAAAAGGCAAGAGGAUGCGGCUGGCUGGCUGCUCUGAGGGCAGAGAGAAAAGACCAGACAGCUCUUGGAACAGACUGUUCUUCCAGUGACGAUGGGGACAAAGAUGCAUGAGUGUAUCUCCAGGACUGGAUGUGAGCUGCAUGGGAGAAAAAGAGUGCAGGCCUGCAGCCCGGGAAAACCCAAAAGGAUGCCAUAAACCCAACAGGAAGAUGGGUUGUCAGGGCCCCAGGAGCUGAGAAAGGAAUAAAAAUGACAGAGAGAGAAAAGUACAUUGUCCACAUCAUAAAUAACACAGCUGAAUGUGCCCAAUGAGGUCCUCAGAGAACCCACAGAAGUGCCCAUGGGAACAGUUCUCUCUGGGACUCAAACCCAGGGAGAGGUGCUUUUAAACAUGCAAAGAGAGGGAACCAUCAUCAUAUUACAUUGCAGUGUCCACAUGAAUAAGACCCUAACUUACCUCAUAUUUCUCCUCCUUCCUCUGCUUUAAUCCAGGAGGAGCCAGAGACCUCUCAGUAAGUGAAGAAGAGGGGAAAUAGGUAAAAAGCCACUAUUCCCCAUGUUAGAUGAGGAAAUAGGAACAUUCUCCUCCUCUACCCAACACCCACUGUAGCUUUUAGUGGCUGGAGUCAGGAGAGAAAAGUUUUCAUGUUAAAUGAAUUUCAGAGGUUUGACUAUGACAUAGAAAUGGAUAUUUUAAUUACUGAAAUAAAACUGUUUUGUAAUUAGAGGUGACUGGAAGACAUUUUAUCCUCAGCAGAAGAAUAGAUAAGGAUAGGACCUUCCCUCCCCCUUGGACCCCACCAAGGUUUUAUCCAGAGGCAGAGGAAGAAGUAACCCUUUAUGUGAGUUUGAAUGGGCAGAAGAAGAAAAGGAUGAAGUUGUCUUCUAAUUGCACUCUAUGAAUGUUGCUUUUUUGUUAACAUAAAUGUCACAUAUAUUUUUAGCUGGUGUAACAAAAAAAAAAACAUCUCAAGCCGGCUUGCAUAAUAACAGCUUUGGGCACAGUCUGAUCAAGGCCCCGGUUCUGUUUGCUAGUGAUCCUCCUGAUUCUGCCCUCUCUCCAUGCUAGUUUCUUCCUCAGAUUGACAUUCCUCUUGGUCACCAGAUGCCUACAAUCAGCGGGUGCAACUCUCUGCUCCCUGCUCACUUCUGAAGGGGAGAGCAUGGAUACCAACCACAGAACAAAGCCCUGCAGUCUCCCGCUGAGUAGAACACCCACGAAGAAGUGUUGGCCAUUUCCCUAUUGCCAGGGAAAUAUCAUGUAUUGGUUGGAUUAGGCCUGUAUUAAUCCAGUUAAUGGAACAUAGUUAAACUAUCCCAGACCCUCCAUAGACACUAGAGAAAAGGUGAAUCCAACCCAAAUGUAAGACUGCUACUCAAUAGGACAGAAAAGGCAUGGAUGUCAGUGAAAUGGGAAAAAAAAUGUGUGCCAAAGGAGAUCAGGAAGGACUGAAUAGAAGACAUGGCCUUUGAAUUGAAGCCUUUAAUGAGGAAAGGGGAUUGACAUUGUAUGAGGGCCAGGGUGGAGAGCGGGUUGUGAAGAGGAUAGGGAAAAUGCAAGGACACUGCGGAUAUAAGAAUUAAUGGGAGAAUCAUGGGCCACAAAGCAGCAGGAUUAUAUUACAGAGAUUGUAAGUAGUGUUUAUUGAAGCACAGGGUACUGGGGAGGUGGAGGAAAGAUGAAACUGUUAAGGAAUUUAGACACAGCAUGUAGUGGUUGGCAGGAAACAGAUGACACUCUCAAACAGGGUAGUUGAGGAGAGCUAAUAAAGGGACCAUUUACCAAGGUGUAGUUAGGAUUAAGAGAAAGCAAACUGGGAUGGUGCUGUGCUAUGGGCUAGCAACAGCAGGAAGUCAUUUCUGUCCCUAGGUCUGAAGAGGGAAGCAGGGGAGCCAACACCAAGGAACCAGAGAUCUUAGAGUCUGAAAGUCUGCAUGAUAGAAGCCAUGGCCUUUAGUAGAGGGAUCUUGCCUACUCUUAGCAGCCUGGCUUGGAGGGGCCUGGGGAAAUAAUACCCCAACCUCUCUCCUCUUCUUCAAUAUUGAUGACUUCCAUUGGUUAAUAUCAAACUGGAAGUUGGAGAGAAAGGGAGUCUAUCUAUACAAGUCAGCACCCUGUAGCCCAGAAGAGAGUAAAAAGGGGGUAAAAAGCAAUUUCCGAGGGACAAACAGAAAACACCCAGCACAGAAGGAGGAACAAACAUUUGGAGGAACAAACAGAAAAUAUCAGAAAACAUUUUAAUCCUGGGUCCUGGGACGUCAUGGAAGGUUUUGAAGUUAGGAGCACCGCCAUCCUCUAGGGGGAGCUCAAGCAUUUCUCUCCACUCAUCCCAAAGGCGGUGCAUCAAAAGAUCAGGGUGAAACUGACUUCAAGGAAAGAGCCCUCGGCUAGAGGAAGAAGCCUGGAGAAGUAAAGGGAUUGCUCCUGGAAUUGGAAAUCUACCCUUUGCACUUCUAUUUACUGCAUUUGGAUUGAUUUGCAAGAAUAACCAUUAAAAUAAUCAAAGCUAAAAGUAAGUAUGUACUGUGUGCCAAGUUCUUGACUCAUUUGGCACAACUCUUCGGAGGUAAGCACCAUUGAAAUUCUCACCUUCUAGAUUAAGAGGCUGAUAGAACCUGGAUUUGAGCCCAUUGACAAAGGACCACUCUCUGCUCUGUUCUGUUCUCAUGCUGCUGGUUUAGUCAGCUGAGUCAAAGGUUGCCUUUGCUUAGAAGGCCUAACAAAACCAGAGCAGGGUCCAUGGAAAAGGAGACAUGAAAAGGGACAUAUUUCCUGGUAAGAUUUGUAUUCAUUUAACAAUUUUAAGCACAUAUUUAAUAACCAGGCACUCACUACCUGACAAGCUCUGAGCCAGGUGCAGGGUAUCCGAGGGAACUAGGAGAGAGGCACUAAGUGCUGUACUAAGAACCUGAAUGAGUGCAUUUGAGUCCUGGGUCUGCUACAUGUGUGACCUAGGAAAAGUCACUUAAAUCAUUUAACUGUCUCCUCAUCUUUAACAUAUAGAUGGUUAAAAAGUACACAGCACUUGGAAUAAUAAACGGGCAGAUUGUUAAUGUUGAAGGUGUGAGCUGCUGUUCUUACAACACAAUGUCAGCCCUUGAAGCUCUUACAGUAGAUGGAAAGAUGGAGAUGAGUAGGAUCUAAUUAUUGGCCAAGUGCAAAGGAGCUAAAAAGGCCACCCACGCUGCUACUUACUUCAGCAAUACCCAAGGAAACAAGGGCAAAAAAAGAGCUCUAGAGGCUCUUCUUGGUCUAGCCCUGCUUUUGAGUUUGGGGCCAAAGCUCUAAUUCACUCUAAUUCAGGGGUGUUAGCAAGGUUCUUGUCUGGCAUUCUAGCUCUGAACAGUUGAUACCAGCUUCCUGAACCAUGUGUUAAGAGAGAUCUCAGACUGCAUGUAGAGAACGUAUGCCUUGAGAGAUAAGUGAUGUCUGCCAUUGAUUGAGGGUGGAGAGGAGGAGCCAAGUGGUUCUAGAACAGUGUCCUUUUGCCUAGAAUGUCCCUACAGCAGGAGCAGCUGGGCAAGACUCAGAAGUCCUGAUUAUAAUCACAGAUUAAGGUGACCAACUAUCCCAGUUUGCCUAGGACUGUUCCAGUUUUAGAACUGAAAUUCCUGCAACCCAGAAAACCUCUCAAUCUUGGGCACAUCCCAAUCAGCUUUGCAGGCUUUCUCUAUCUGACAAUACCAAAAAAAAACAACAACUAUGAGCUCUGACUAGAAGAGAUUACUCUUUUUGUCUUGGCCAAUUUCAGCCUGUGAAAAUGCAUCUUAUUCUGGCCUGUAUGUGCCAGCCAUAUGCCCUCAAAUGUUCCCCCACUUCACAAUAGCUGACCUCCAUACCUCUCUCCUUUCUCAGCUAUUUUUCCUGCUGUAUCCACUGACGCCUUAGUAGGAAACAGAUGGCACCAUCAAAGGGUUUAGCUGAAGAGAAUUUCAUACAGGGAUUAUUUACAGAGGCGUGGGCAGGGUUAAUGGAACCAACAAGAGCUGGGGAGACAGUCAGGGAUUAGCUCUUACCACAGGAGGUCUGCAGGGACAAAGGGAGGGGAUGCUGUUACCAGCCUGGUAAGAGCUGAAACUGUGCAGGAGAGGUCACUGGGCCUGGGAGCUGGAGCCUCUGUCUCAUCUGCGGUGUGGCAGAGAGGAAAGAGGAGGAGGGCAUAAAAAUCCCUGGCCCGGCUCUCCUCCUGCCCUCUGGCCUCUUGCCAGUAGUUUCUUGCCAGAGUGCAAGGAAAAGCAAAUGAAACAACAGGUCUAGUAGAGGGCAGCCUCCCAGGCCGCAGAGCGUGACAGGAAAAGGCAGAGAACAGAUCUAAGAAUAACCAUCCCAGGCCACCCUAUUGUCACUCAGCUUCCAUUCUAACACUUUACUUAGCCAAAGAAACUCAGGUCCUCAACACAGGGAAAACAUAGUCUCAUCAGCUACUGUAUCACUGAGUGAUGAUGUAUUUCAGUCAUAUUACUUCCUGGACCCUAAACUGUAACUUUAGUCACCACCAGGAUGCAAGGCAGCAAAGAAAGGUAAAAAAAUAAAUAACUAUCAUACUACAGCUCCACAUCUAAGCAUUUCUAAUCUAAUAAUCCUGACUUCCUCCUCCCAGCACUCGUUCCAUAAUUCUUUACCCUCACCUAGCAUCUUGACAGUUAAGGUGUCUUACUUGAUGGGGUGAGCCAAACCUUCCUUGCCACAGGAUCCGGGUGGUUCCAUCUUUGUUGAGUUGCUGCCGUUUCUCAUUGGCCAUUACUACUGGACAUGGGAGUGCAAUGAAUCCCAUGGGCUCUAGAUACAGUGUUGUUUCCAUGUGAUAGCAAAAAUCCCAAUUUCUCCUUGAUAAUCAAAAUUAAUCAUACCAGUCCAUACAAACAGCCAAUGCUCUGCCUUUGAUCAGUGUUGUGAACAACCUGAAAUGUUGAAGGGGCAUUCUCAGUGUUUCCUAGUAGAAAUAUAUCUCCCCCUUGGGCACAAGAACCUCACGCCCAUUAGAUGCAAUGUUUUAGGGACAAGAAGACAGUAUUAUUGAAGUGGGUUAUUACUCAUCCUGAGUUCCCAGAGCCAUGUAUUCAACACCAUGUAUCAACCACUGAUCUGACCACUUAUAGGACAGCACCCCAACUUCACAAGAUGUUGUCUCCCAGCAGGCUCCAUAAAUGAGCCUUCGAUAGGACAUUUCAUCAUUCCAUCAAUCUAGCUGCUUCCAGGUAAGAACAAUGAAUUCUACGAUGUGAGCGUAAUACCACAGCUGUUUCACUGUAAAUGAGUUCCUUGAUCAGUGACAAUGCUGUGUGUGACACCAUGGGGAUGAAUAAGGCAGCCUAUCAACCACAUAUGGUAGUGCUGGCGGAAGCAACAUGCACAGGAAAGGGAAGUUACUCUCCAGUAUAUGUAAUUAUUCCCAUGAAGACAAAUUCCUGCCCCUUCCAUAAUGUAGUGGUCUGAUAUUAUCAACCUGGGUGGCUGAUACUUCCAAGAAAUAGUGCCAAAUAAGGGUUCAGUGUUGCCUUCCGUUUUAGAAAUCUGGGCACUCAGCAGUGACAGUGGCAGAUCAGCUGUGAUGUGAGGAAGUCCAUGUUUAUUUAUUUCAUUGCCUCUGUUCCUAUUCCCAUGGCCACUUUGUACAUGAGACAUUUACCCAAGCACAAACAUGGCCAGUGUCUUAGCAUGCUCAACUGCUUUAACAAAACGCCGUAAACUGGGUUGUUUAUAAACAGCAGAAAUUUAUUUCUCACAAUUUUGGAGGCUGGGAAGUUCAAGAUCAAGGUUCUAGCAGACUCUGCGUCUGGUGAGAGCCUAUUUCCUGGUUCACAGAGGGCCACCUUCUGUGUCUUCAUAUGGUGGAAAGGGCUAUGCAGCUCUCUGGGAUUUCUUUUAUAAGGGCACUAAUCCCAUUCAUAAGGGCACUUAACUUCCCUGGGGACUUAACCUCCCAGUGGCCUCACUUCCUAAUACCAUUCACAUUGGUGAUUAGGUUUCCACAUAUGAGUUUUGAAGGGACACAAAUAUUUAGACCAUAGCAGCCAGGGAAGGAGGCUCACUACAACCAAGGGAUAGGUCAUCUUGGCCACCUCCUCAUUUAGCUUUCUGUGAGGUAGAUGUCCUCUGGGGGAACAUUUAUAUGCUAUUCAAAUAGCCUCAAAGACUAGCCAUUUUUAGAGGUCCAUUAUAUAACUUCCCUUUAGGUGAUCUUGGCACCAACCUUCCAGGUCCCUGAUAAUUUGACCAACCCAUUAGCCCCUGCCUGUGUAUUUCAGGAAACCUCAGCUUAUCCCUUCUUUCAUGUCAGUGGCCAACCAGAUGUACUUCCUGAAGUUCUGUCUAUGGGAAGAUUUUCCUAUGGCUUGCAGAGCCACCCCAGACAGAUAAUUCUUAAACCAGACCAGGCCACUGUCACCCUCUUUUCUCAUCAAAGGGUCAUAGGGAAUACCCGGGGAGACCAGAGGUACGGUUUGAGGGAAAGGCGGGAAGCAGUAAGAAGUCUGACUCAUCAGCUUUUGCAGAGAAGAGAAGUGCUGAGAAUAGAUCUGAGGGUGUGAGGGGAUAAAGAAUAACAGCUCACCCACGUCUGUGCAGUUCUUUACCCUAAAGUUUAAGUGAAAUGAUUCUUCAUCAAGCUUCUUCUCACUUGAUUUAAGAAAAUCCUUAGAGAUAUAACAGCAUCAAUAUUGCAAACCAAUAAGGAAACAAAGCAAUAGCUUAGCCCUUGACAUAUAUUUCUGAUAAGUAAUGUAUUUCAUGGUCUUUCCUAAAUGUACAUGAGGUAGAAGUAGAUAUAUCCAAUGUCUAUACUUAAUUGAUUUUUGCCAGAAAGUCUAUCUUGAAAUGUGAGCUUCUGAUAAAUUCCUUCUAUUUGUGCUUUUUUAGAACAAGUUCCAUUUUUAUGUUGUCUUUGUCAGUGACGGAGGAAAUCAGAUCAAUUUUUUAAAGUCAGUUUUUUAUAUAAGCAUUACUGAAACUAUUGAAAUCUGAAUAUGGUGUUUUUAAAAUAAACUGUGUUAAACUAAUUUGUAAUAUCAGAAGUCAGGAAGGGAAGCAUGAGGGGGCAUCUAGGGGCUGGUAAUGUUGUGUUUCCUCCUGUGGGUAUUGGUUACCUGAGUUAAUUUUUUUUUGUGAAAUUACAACAAGCUGUGCACUUAUGAAAGUUGUACUUUUCUAUACAUGUAUUCUUAUUCAAUAAAAAGAAAAAAAUG
ensembl:lncRNA POC1B-AS1 POC1B antisense RNA 1